rnacentral:rRNA from 1 species
CAAGUCGAGCGAUGAAGCACCUUCGGGUGUGAAUUAGCGGCGAACGGGUGAGGAACACGUGAGAAAUCUGCCUUCAACACUGGGAUAACUCCGGGAAACCGGGGCUAAUACCGGAUAUGAAACCUGCGGGCAUCCGCGGGCUUGGAAAGUUUUUCGGUUGAAGAUGAUCUCGCGGCCUAUCAGCUUGUUGGUGAGGUAAUGGCUCACCAAGGCGACGACGGGUAGCCGGCCUGAGAGGGCGACCGGCCACACUGGGACUGAGACACGGCCCAGACUCCUACGGGAGGCAGCAGUGGGGAAUAUUGGGCAAUGGAGGAAACUCUGACCCAGCGACGCCGCGUGCGGGAUGAAGGCCUUCGGGUUGUAAACCGCUUUCAGCAGGGAAGAAGCGAAAGUGACGGUACCUGCAGAAGAAGCACCGGCUAACUAUGUGCCAGCAGCCGCGGUAAUACAUAGGGUGCAAGCGUUGUCCGGAAUUAUUGGGCGUAAAGAGCUCGUAGGUGGUUCGUCACGUCGGAUGUGAAACUCUGGGGCUUAACCCCAGACCUGCAUUCGAUACGGGCGAGCUUGAGUAUGGUAGGGGAGUCUGGAAUUCCUGGUGUAGCGGUGGAAUGCGCAGAUAUCAGGAGGAACACCAAUGGCGAAGGCAGGACUCUGGGCCAUUACUGACACUGAGGAGCGAAGGCGUGGGGAGCGAACAGGAUUAGAUACCCUGGUAGUCCACGCCGUAAACGGUGGGCACUAGUUGUGGGGACCUUCCACGGUCUCUGCGACGCAGCUAACGCAUUAAGUGCCCCGCCUGGGGAGUACGAUCGCAAGAUUAAAACUCAAAGGAAUUGACAG